GCCUUGGUAGUGUAGUCCGGCCAGCAGCUAAAAACUGCCCGGAGUAUCAUGAAGCCUUGUCGAGGCUUCGACCCGGGUUCGAAUCCCGGCCAGGGCGCCA
rnacentral:tRNA from 3 species